rnacentral:lncRNA from 1 species
AUUACAUUAUGGAAAAUAAUGAACUUUUUCACAAUAUGCUAAUUUUUGAGAAGGACCUGUAUGUUUGUUUACAUUGCUACAUUUCAGAUGCUGUGCAGUGAGCUGUUCAUUGAUGUAAUGUUCCUGGUUUGCAAGUUUGCUCCACAAAAGAAAGUGGUCCAGGAAAUAUAUGAAAAUGAGGAUGUUCAUGAUUCAAUGUCCAAAACUAAAGCCUUCAUGAAGACAUUGCAAACACUUCUGGAGACUUUAAGAAACUGCCUUUGAGAAGAUAUCUGGCAAGGCGACCUACAGUAUGGCCUGCUUUAAAGGGAGCACGUUCAAACUACAGCAGUUUUAAUGAUGCAUCUACCUUUUCCUGUGAAAUCUUCCUGUGUGUUGUACAUGCAUUUAAUAUGGCCUGGUUUAAAGGGAGCACGUUCAAACUACAGCAGUUUAAUGAUGCAUCUACCUUUUCCUGUGAAAUCUUCCUGUGUGUUGUACAUGCAUUUAAUUCACUGGAUUUGUUUUUUAUUGUUUAAAAAGAGAAAGUAGUCAUACUUAUACUUGAUUAUUUUAUUGUAAUAUUGGACCCGUAAACUGAUUAUUUUCAAUCAACAUUUAAUUUUGUUCUUACACAAACAAUCUAUACAACAGACAUUGAAUGAAACAACAUUUACAGCACAAGUAAAAAAAAAAAAAAAAAACAGCCUUAGUUUCCAUAAUUUAAUAGCCUAUGAGAACAUUAAGUGGUUGCACAUAGAUUGACACGGGAACGUUUAAAAUCACAUUUAUGUGUCACCAAGUCAACUCAGGACUUCUCUCACAAUUCAGAUGGCAAUUGUUAUCAUAUAGACAUAUUGAAACAACAUUUAACAAGACACAGUAAAAAAAAUAAAAAAAAAAAAAAAACAAAAACAAGGCUUAAUUUCCAUAAUUUAAUAGCCUAUGAGAACAUUAAGUGGUUGCACAUAGAUUGACACCGGGAACGUUUAAAAUCACAUUUAUGUGUCACCAAGUCAACUCAGGACUUCUCUCACAAUUCAGAUGGCAAUUGUUAUUCAUAUGGACAUAUGUAAAAAAUUAUUUACAUGGCACCUCAGUGAUAACUCAUGGAUUUGAUGAAUUAUUCACAGUGGAGAAGAAAGAUGUGAGAUCAUUAUGAACCUAGGAAUGCACUGCUGACAUGGCCAGUUGCAUAGUUGUCUGCUCUAAAUAAAAUGCCAUACUCUUGGAAUAAAAGAUUUAAAUGUAAUACUAUACUAUUUAUUAUUUAUUUAAAUCUCUGGUUUAAAAAUAGGAAAAUAGACCCAAUAUAGCUGAAAUGGUUCUUAAUUUUUAUCUCUCAAAAUGAUGGGUGUCAUUAAAAAUGUGGAGAUUAGCAUUAAUAAGUAAAUGCAACCUCUUAUUUACAUGAGGUAAACAAAGCUGCUUGGUUCGCAUUUUCAAGUACGUAAUUGUAGGCCUAUACAUAUUUAAAAAUGGUAUUGUAUACCUGUUACUGCCAUAAUGAGCAGCACGUAAUACACUAAAAAUAACAGUAAUUUGAAUAUUGACAGUGAUAUUAAUAUUGAAUACUCCUGCCCUGAGAGCAGCGCAUAGUUUAAUAGAAUAACAGUAAUAUAACUGAGUAUUCCUGCCCUGAGAGCAGUGCAUAGUUUAGUAAAAUAACAGUAAUAUGAAUAUUGAGUACUCCUGCCCCGAGAGCAGCACACAGUUCAUAAAAAUAACAGUAAUUUAAAUAUUGAAUACUCCUGAAUUGAAUAUUGAGUACUUCUGCCCUGAGAGCAGUGCUAAUGCUAACGCUAACUGACUGAUGAAAUGUCAAGGAUAUAAGAACGAGUUCUGUUGUCGCUCAUAUCGGUUUCACAGACAGUGCGGAAGUAUUGGAAAAACAUGUUUUACUCCAGUUACCUCAUAACCAGCUUUGGUGCAAUCAACUGAUGAAGCAGUCAAGUGAAAAUGCAUGCUAUAUGGUAUUUAGUCCAUGAUUAUUUGUUCUGUGUAUCUUUGUUCGCUAAUUAUCUUUUAAAAUGUUAGAUAUUGUUCUUUUUUUUUCAUGAAAAUACAUGGUAAAUUAACUUACCUUGCAAUAAAUGCGUCCCACGAAGCGUCAGUAACGUAUCUGUC